rfam:Gaeumannomyces graminis var. tritici R3-111a-1 unplaced genomic scaffold supercont2.4, whole genome shotgun sequence.
GGCAGCGUGCCUGAGUGGUUAAGGGGUGUGACUUGAAUUCUACAGUUCAGGCUAUCACAUGACUUCGGUCGCGCAGGUUCGAACCCUGCCGCUGUCG